GAUGAACGCUAGCGACAGGCCUAACACAUGCAAGUCGAGGGGCAGCAUAAAGGUAGCAAUACUUUGGUGGCGACCGGCGCACGGGUGAGUAACACGUAUGCAACCUGCCUGUAAGAGGGGAAUAACCCGGAGAAAUUCGGACUAAUACCGCAUAAUACCACGAAUUCGCAUGGAUUUGUGUUUAAACAUUUAUGGCUUACAGAUGGGCAUGCGUAUGAUUAGCUAGUAGGUGAGGUAACGGCUCACCUAGGCAACGAUCAUUAGGGGUUCUGAGAGGAAGGUCCCCCACACUGGUACUGAGACACGGACCAGACUCCUACGGGAGGCAGCAGUGAGGAAUAUUGGUCAAUGGGCGAGAGCCUGAACCAGCCAAGUCGCGUGAAGGAAGAAGGUUCUAUGGAUUGUAAACUUCUUUUGUAAGGGAAUAAAAAGAGUUACGUGUAACUUAUUGUAUGUACUUUACGAAUAAGGAUCGGCUAACUCCGUGCCAGCCGCCGCGGUAAGAC
rnacentral:rRNA from 1 species